rnacentral:rRNA from 1 species
ACUAUGCCUAGUCGUAAACUUUAACUUACCCUACAUCGCCCGGGAACUACGAGGCUAAGCUUAAAACCCAAAGGACUUGACGGUACCCCAUAUCCCCCUAGAGGAGCCUGUCCUAUAAUCGAUAACCCCCGCUUAACCUCACCAUUUUUUGCCAAUCAGCCUGUAUACCUCCGUCGUCAGCUUACCACGUGAGCGUCAGUGAGCCUAAUGUUCUUCCAACUAUACGUCAGGUCAAGGUGCAACAUAUAAAAUGGAAAGAGAUGGGCUACACUUUCUACCAUAGAAUAAACGAAAGACUAAAUGAAACCUAGUCAGAAGGCGGAUUUAGUAGUAAAGUGAAACCAGAGCGUUUACUUAAAUACGGCACUGGGGUGUGUACACACCGCCCGUCACCCUCCUCAACUCUGCAUAAAAGUUCUUAACACCUCCUCAGAGACUCAGAAGAGGCAAGUC